ACGCACGCUGGCGGCAUGCCUAACCCAUGCCAGUCGAACGAGACCUUCGGGUCUAGUGGCGCACGGGUGCGUAACGCGUGGGAACCUGCCCUUAGGUUCGGAAUAACUCCCCGAAAGGGGUGCUAAUACCGGAUAAUGUCUUCGGACCAAAGAUUUAUCGCCUUUGGAUGGGCCCGCGUUGGAUUAGCUAGUUGGUAGGGUAAAAGCCUACCAAGGCGACGAUCCAUAGCUGGUCUGAGAGGAUGAUCAGCCACACUGGGACUGAGACACGGCCCAGACUCCUACGGGAGGCAGCAGUGGGGAAUAUUGGACAAUGGGCGAAAGCCUGAUCCAGCAAUGCCGCGUGAGUGAUGAAGGCCUUAGGGUUGUAAAGCUCUUUUACCCGGGAUGAUAAUGACAGUACCGGGAGAAUAAGCUCCGGCUAACUCCGUG
rnacentral:rRNA from 1 species